AUACGAAGGUCCCAAGCGUUGUUCGGAUUUACUGGGCGUAAAGCGUCUGUAGGCGGCGUGGUAAGUCAGAUGUGAAAUCCCGGGGCUCAACCCCGGAACUGCAUCCGAUACUGCCAUGCUAGAGUAUUGGAGGGGAGUCUGGAAUUCUCGGUGUAGCAGUGAAAUGCGUAGAUAUCGAGAGGAACACUAGUGGCGAAGGCGAGACUCUGGACAAUUACUGACGCUGAGAGACGAAGGCCAGGGUAGCGAAAAGGAUUAGAAACCCCAGUAGUCC
rnacentral:rRNA from 1 species